GCAUGGAUGAAUUCUGCAUUGUCUUCUUCAGUAGCUAAUGCAGUCAGACACUAUGCUAGAGUAUAUUCCUUUUCACUUAUUCCUAAUGGUAUGCUUUGUGUAAAGUUGGCAUGUCCAUACAAGUAGGAUACAUGA